UACGGAGGGUGCAAACGUUGCUCGGAAUCAUUGGGCGUAAAGCGCACGUAGGCGGCCUGAUAAGUCGGGUGUGAAAGCCCUGGGCUCAACCCAGGAAGUGCACUCGAAACUGCCAGGCUUGAAUAUGGAAGAGGGUCGCGGAAUUCCCGGUGUAGAGGUGAAAUUCGUAGAUAUCGGGAGGAACACCAGUGGCGAAGGCGGCGACCUGGGCCAAUAUUGACGCUGAGGUGCGAAAGCGUGGGGAGCAAACAGG
rnacentral:rRNA from 1 species